GAAACUAUAUAGUUGGCGGGGCCAGAGUGGGCAACGUAUCCCCAGAAUCAGGGGAGGGGCGCAGCAAAUUUGCUAAGGAAUUUCGGGGGGUACAUAGUGCAAACCUGGACCGAGGACACUGUCCGGGGUCUUGCAGAGACGUGAAAACUACCUUAAGCCUCAGGUUUCGCGCGGGGAAUCCUGGGAGAGUCAGCAGCGCUGCGGCAGGAACCGCUGCCGGGCGGCCCGGGAACCUCCCAGGACUUACUGAUGAAGUGGAACAAGGAGCCCUGGAUGGUGAAGAGAGAGAAGACAGUAGCAAAGGAUACACGUACAAAAGUGCAAGAGGAGGAAACUCAGAGAAGGGCAAUAGGGAAAAAUGGCUGGCUUUCCAGUAAAUACAUUCCAGGGUUUGUUGACAUUCCGCGAUGUGGCUGUGGAUUUCUCCUCGGAGGAGUGGGAAUGCCUGGAUUCUGCUCAGAGGGCUUUGUACAUUGGUGUGAUGUUGGAGAAUUACAGCAACCUGGUGUCUGUGGGUAUUGUGUGCAAGACAGACCUGGUCCCCUGUCUGGAGCAAAUCUGCAUGCCCUGGAAGGUGAAGAGAGAGAAGAUGGUGACCAAACCAGGUAGAGAGAAGCAUCAAGUGUGCAGUGAAUCUGAGAAGGUCUUGGAUCAAGAUUCAAAGAGUAUCAUCUAUGAGUAUGUGGAUAUGCAGUGGAAGUCCAGUGAAUGUAAUGAACUUGGCAAAAUGCUUCAGGAAUCUUCCAGAUGGAUACUUUGCAAAGCAAAUAAUACUCCAGAAAUCUGCAACAAAUACAGAUUUGGUAACUACGGGGAUGCCUGUUUUGAAUCACCAAACCUCAGUAGACAUAAAAGUAUACACACUGGAGAAGAACCUUUUAAAUAUAAAGACUAUGGCAAAUCUUUAAGUUUAUUUUCAAAUGUAAGUCAGAGUCAUGGAAUCUACAUAGGAGAGAAAGAAUAUAAAGAAUGUGAUAAAACUUUUGGCUCUACCCCAAAACUUGUACAACUAAAAAUCCAUAGUGGAGAAAACCCACGUAGAACAGGAUUCAGGACCUGCUCAAGCCUCAGUACAUAUCAGAGAACUUAUACUGGAGAGAAACCAUGGAUAUGCACAGAAUAUAACAAGGUCUUUAGGUGGUUGUCAGAUCUUAAAACCCAUUACAGAGUCCAUCCUGGAGAAAAGCCUUUCAAAUGUAAGGAAUGGGACAAAUCCAUCACCUUCUGUUCCUCUCUUAGAGAACAUGAGAACCUCCAUGAGGGAAAAUUGUACAAAUGUUUGGAAUGUGACAAAUCCUUUACCCGGUGCUCAUCUCUUAGAGCACAUGGAAAAAUUCAUACUGGAGAGAAACCUUUCAAAUGUAAGGAAUGCAUUAAAUCCUUUUAUAUGUUCUCCCAACUUAGGAAACAUGCCAGAAUACAUACUGGAGAGAAACCAUACAAAUGUAAGGAAUGUGAAAAAUCUUUUACCUACUCCUCAUCUCUUAGAGAACACCAAAACAUGCAUGCUGGAAAACUAUAUAAAUGUCAGGAAUGUGACAAAUCCUUUACCCGGUGCUCAUCUCUUAGAGCUCAUGAAAAAAUUCACACUGGAAAGAAACCUUUCAAGUGUAAGGAAUGUGGUAAGUCCUUUUAUAUGGUGUCCCAACUUAGAAAACAUGCCAGAACUCAUACUGGAGAGAAACCAUACAAAUGCAAGGAGUGUGAGAAAUCUUUUACCCAGUGUUCAACACUUAGGAUACAUCAGAAAAUUCAUGCUGGAGAGAAACCCUACAAAUGUAAAGAAUGUGGUAAGUGCUUUUAUAAGUUGUCAUACCUUAAAGUACAUUACAGAACCCAUACUGGAGAGAAACCUUACCAAUGUAACGAGUGUGGGAAGGGCUUUUCCCAGUUGUCCUGUCUUAAAAGCCAUGAAAGAAUCCAUACUGGAGAGAAACCUUACAAAUGCAAUGAAUGUGACAAAUCCUUUGCACAUUGCUCAACUUGUAGGAGACAUCAGAGCACUCAUGCUGCAAAGCUUUACAAAUGUGGGGAAUGUGACAAAUCUUUUGCCAAAUAUUCAUCUCUCAGAACACAUCAGAAAGUCCAUGCCGAAGAGAAACCUCAUGCUUGUAAAGAAUGCGGUAAGGCCUUCUAUCAACUAUCACAUCUGAAAGUUCAUUACAGAAUCCAUACUGGAGAGAAACCUUACAAAUGUGAUGAAUGUGAGAAAUCAUUUACAAAAUGUUCAUCGCUCAGAACACAUCAGAAAAUUCAUACAGGAGAGAAACCUCAUGCUUGUAAAGAAUGUGGCAAGGCCUUCUAUCAUUUAGCACACCUUAAUAUCCAUUACAGAAUUCAUACAGGAGAGAAACCUUACAAAUGUAGUGAAUGUGACAAAUCCUUUACCACACUGGCAAACCUUAGAAGACAUCACAAAAUUCAUUCCUGGGAAAAAACCUUUCCAUAGUAAAUAAUGUGGUAUAUGCUUUUUCCAGAGGGCUGUUCUUAGUGACCACUGCAGGUUCCACUCCAGAGAAACAUUAUGAACAUGAGAGACCUGGGGAAACCUUUAUGGAAUAUUUAAAUCUUAGAAAACAUCAAGAGUUUAUAGUGAAGAAAAAUUCUGAAAUGUUUCACUGUCGGAAGCCUUUCAUCACAUUUUACUUGUUCAACCUAAAAAUUGAAGACAAUAUGUGUUAAUCUAAAGAAUGUCAUCAAGCCUUUAGUUAUUCCCUGAAAUGACAUACAGCAGAAAAUUCGUAUUAGAGAGACAUUCAUGUUUAUGUUUGCCAUUGUGCUACAUUUAUGCCUUGCUGCAUACUAGAAAUACCUCUUGAGACCCCGAAGAAAUAACAUUGAAUUUGUCAAAGCUUUUUCCUACUAGACAUCUGGAAAUUCUUCUUGAAGGAAAAUCCAAGAGGGUGCUUUAAUAAAGACACCCUUUUCUUUUUUUACCUUUAAAAUAUUCAUUCUGGAGCGAAAACCUGUCAAUAGCAAGAUGGCAAUAACUUUACAGUGAUAAUCUAUAGCUGUGACAACAUGUAUGUUCAUGCACAGGUAGAAAAUCCCCAAGAAUGUACAGGGAAAUUAUUUUUCAGUACUCAAGAAACUUGGGGAAGUAUUUAGUAAAACCACAGUAAUAGUAGAAGUUUAAUAUACAAAUACUAAAACACAAAGGUUUGUAGGCUUAGUCAAGCCAGUUACUGCAUUAGCAGAUGGUUAUGUGAUAAUCUGAAGUUGCUCCUUCAGAGCUGAAGAACUCAAGACAGGAGUCACAAAAGUUAGUAGGGACUGACCAUAAUCAUCAGGGGACGUCAAUUGUCUGCACAGACUUAAUGCCAAUUUCAGGUACUCCCUGGAUCAGAGCUCCUUUGCACACAGAUCCUACACAUAUCAAAGCCCCUUUAAUAACCUUUCAAUACUUUUCUUCAUUCCUUAUCACUGAAAAGCAAUUCUUAGCCAGGUGGUAGUGGUACAGGCCUUUAAUUCAAGCACUUAUGUUGGGAGAGGGUAGACGCACGUGCAUCUCUAUGAGUUUGAGGCUAGCCUGAUCUACAGGGUGAGUUCCAGGACACGGAAACCCUGUCUCAAAGAUAGAACACACACAUACACACCCACAGACCAAUUCUUCCUACUUGAGCAGAAUUCUGUCUUGGAAACCCUCCACUUUCAGAAGUUACUUUAUUUGUAAUAAAUAUUGGUUGGAAGCAAACCUACUUCUGUUGACUACACCUGGAAGCGGUAUGAAAGUACAUUCUGGGAACAACACCAUGUUAUGGAAAAACAGUGUCUUGGAGGUGUCCCAUAAGCACUCAGAACUCUCCUUACAUUGGAUCAUUCGUGGACUAUAUUAUGAUAUCUUAUCCAUUUUAUCUUUUGAACUCAGUAUAUGUCUACAGUGAUUUCCAUUCAAGAUAUUGUAGAUAAGUCUAAUUGUCAUUUGAUGCAUGAGUAUUCUAUAAAUAAGCAAAUUAUCAACACAAUAAUAUUAGGACAAUGAAAGCAUUAUUUGUUAUAAUCUGCACCAGCAAUGGGAUUCUUCCUAAUGAUUUAGUUAUUCCAUCAGCCAAAUCCUCAUAAGAAACAGUUGAUAAGCUAUCUGAAAAUGUUAAAAACAUUAAAAUUUAAAUUCCCUUGGAAA